rnacentral:rRNA from 1 species
CCUACGGGAGGCUGCAGUGGGGGAUAUUGCACAAUGGGGGGAACCCUGAUGCAGCGACGCCGCGUGGGUGAAGGAGCGUUUCGGCGCGUAAAGUCCUAUCGGCAGGGAAGAAGAUGACGGUACCUGGCCAAGAAGCCACGGCUAACUACGUGCCAGGAGCCGCGGUAAUACGUAGGGGGCAAGCGUUAUCCGGAUUUACUGGGGGUAAAGGGGGCGCAGACGGCAAGGCAAGCCAGGAGUGAAAGCCCGGGGCGCAACCCCGGGACUGCACCUGGAACUGCAUGGCUGGAGUACAGGAGGGGCAGGUAGAAUUCCAAGUGUAGCGGUGAAAUGCGUAGAGAUUAGGAGGAACACCGGUGGCGAAGGCGGCCUGCUGGACUGUGACUGACGUUGAGGCCCGAAGGCGUGGGGAGCAAACAGGAUUAGAUACCCGAGUAGUC